CACGUAGGGCGCAAGCGUUGUCCGGAAUUAUUGGGCGUAAAGAGCUCGUAGGCGGUCUGUUACGUCUGCUGUGAAAACCCAGGGCUUAACCCUGGGCUUGCAGUGGAUACGGGCAGACUAGAGGCAGGUAGGGGAGAAUGGAAUUCCCGGUGUAGCGGUGAAAUGCGCAGAUAUCGGGAGGAACACCGGUGGCGAAGGCGGCUCACUGGCCCGAUACUGACGCUGAGGCACGAAAGCGUGGGGAGCAAACAGG
rnacentral:rRNA from 1 species